rnacentral:rRNA from 1 species
GAGUUUGAUCAUGGCUCAGGAUGAACGCUGGCGGCGUGCUUAACACAUGCAAGUCGAACGGGCGAAUUAUAUCGGAGGUCUUCGGGCCGAAGAGAUAAUAAGCUAGUGGCGGACGGGUGCGUAACGUGUGGGUAAUCUGCCUUUGUCAUAGGAAUAACUGCUUGAAAAAGUAGCUAAUACCAAAUAACAUAUCGUAUAGGCAUCUAUAAGAUAUCAAAGAGAAAUCGGACAAAGAUGAGCCCGCAUCUGAUUAGCUGGUUGGUAGGGUAAAAGCCUACCAAGGCGACGAUCAGUAGCCGGCCUGAGAGGGUGAACGGCCACAUUGGAACUGAGACACGGUCCAAACUCCUACGGGAGGCAGCAGUGGGGAAUAUUGCACAAUGGGGGGAACCCUGAUGCAGCAACGCCGCGUGAGUGAAGAAGGCUUUCGAGUCGUAAAACUCUGUUGUAAGGGAAGAUAAUGACG